GGUAACUUAAGCGUAGGCGGACAACCAGCGGCGCAGGAAUCGAUUGGAUCAAAGGCGCGGGAAUCGAUCGGAUCCGGGGCGAGACCGGCAACAAUAGGAGGGUUUGGCAAGCAGCAGUUUGCUAGACAAAGAUUGCCAUCGGAGCCCAUCUCCUAACGGCCCACAGGGGGCAGAUAAAGCUAGUCAAAACCAAUGAACGAAGGCGAAAUGUUUCGUUUCAUGUGGGAGGAGAUGAGACAACAGUACGGACACACAAGCGAAAAUUUGUCGAUUCUGAGGAUGAUGAACCGUUCCACGGGUUUGACGUCGAGGCUCCACCACCCGCCAGAAAUGAACUACACCCGGGAGCGUUGCAGGAAUGUGUUGAAGUUUUUCCAUCAGGAAGUUCGAAGGCGCCAUUUGUGUUGAGGCGUUCGAAUAGAAAGAAACAGAAAUC